CCUAGAUACUAUAAGUAAACCAUAACACUUAUAGCUAUAAAAAGACAUUAGAACCAGUUUGAUUAAUAACUUCAUUAUACUUUGCCUCCCUCAUGAUAAACACGAACAUUCUGGUACGAAAGUAUACGUUCUCGUUCACACGCUUCUUAACAUCGGGUGCUCUAUAAAGAACUACACGUUAAGAGCUGCCGCUGGCCGUUUGUUACGACUUAUUAGGAGCGAGAACAUGGAACACACCAGGAUCUUAGUAGUUGCAAGGCCCGUUUCGACCUGUGAGUCUGAGGACGUUUACACUACUGGCUACUCGAAUAGAACUUGUUUUUGGUGUGUUUUUUCAGUCUCGUCACAAUCUAGCAGGUUCCGAGGUUCGUAGAAGUACGGUAAGAGGAAGACAAGUAACCGAGGUAUACUUUCGUCGAGGAAGCAAAACUAGUAUCCCACUUUCUUCAGACUUAUCCAUACUGAGGGGAGGGUCAAAAGCAGGAGGACAGUAACCAAACAAAGACGUAUAGGCUACUGGCGGAAUGAUGGCGUUUUGACGAGUUACGGGCGCUGUUCGAGCAAAGCUCGCCGCCACAGAAACGAGAACCGAAGAAGUGGGGCCGUUUGAGUUGACACCUGUGUAUGUAGCCGUAUACCAUGUUGUUCUAAGGGGUCGGGUGAAUACACACCCAACGAUUGGCGCUGUUGGGUUAGUUCUUACCAAGAGGACCCUUCGACCAAUACUCGUCGUUGAGACUGGAACAGAACAGACUGAGGGUUCCGGCGUGAGAGACCUGUUGAUGUUUGUUGAAGUGUAGGCGUUGGUGCCCUUGACGACGAUAUGACAAACUGAGGCCUUUGAACCAGUAGGUCAACGGCUUGCCGUUUGUGUAUACCGUCUCGAAGCUAAUGGGUUGGCUGUGGCGGGAGGGACUGUACCAAAAUGGUGACUCGUGUUUACUACCAUAGAACUCCGCGGAGCAACGAACCUUCCCGGGACUACUGGGCCCGUGGUCGCUGAUGAGGUACCCACCACUGAGGUCGAGUCUGGAGGUCCAACAGUAGACCUUACCCUGCUCUGGUAUAACCGCGUCUAGUCGCACCCUACCCAGUAACCAGAGACCGGACAUAGUUUCGUAAUGACCGAAGUAGAAUUGACUUUAUUAACAGCUGUCUCCCCCACUCAAUAUGUACUGUAAGUGGCAGAGGGUCCCUAGUGGUUCGGACGCGUACUACGACCUGAUGUUCCCGUGAAAAUUUAAAGACCGCACCUUGUCGUUGAGUAGUAGUACCCUCCGAAAGUAUCUCGUAGGAUCAGGAUAGACACUUGCGAUGCGGAUAACGCCUGGUAAACCGAUGACACUACGGCGACUUUGUCAAGGCUUUACGUUGACGGAGUCACCCAAACUCGGACUACCGCAAUUGAAGAGGUCUCCCACAGCCUCUUUCCUCCUAGACUUUACACCAUUAUUGCUAUAAAAGAGCUGGGACUCUCCAUACUUCUGUGGGCUGUUCAAGAACAUACAGUCCUUAUCUUCGAAACUGGUUACGUGUCUUCUCACGUUUGCGUUAACGAGAACGAGGCGUAUACGAAUACGAUUGGACUUAUUACCUUCACCCCGACGCCUGGUCAGUUCCACGAAUUAAACCAACCCUCCUGAACAGCUGUACCGCUUUAAAGCACUACCACCACCACCACUCCUGGACAUGGAGGCGGAACGGUCAAGUUGUCAACUGUUCCUCUAAUUACAUAACUUCUAAUAUGAGGGUUAUCACCGAUCAGACGACUAUGAACGUAGGUAGACGGAACACACCUAUACGUUCAGUUCUCACAGUCCAUUUGCUGCUUAGUUCCUCUAAUUCUUGUUUGUAUGUGCUGUCGUGGACGUUUUAAGGUUUAACUUGCUUGAACUCUUACUUUCAUAUCUGGAAGGUAUAUAGACGAAACUUCUGUAACAAUGACGUUGUCUGUUAAAGAGUCUGAUGUUUAACGAACCCUUUCCACCGAAACCUUUUCAAAUGUUCCCUGAUAAUCCUCCACCACCGUUCCUUCAACGACAGUUUUCCGAAUCAUUUUCAAGGCCGGUUCCCCGGCUGCUCAAAUCUUUACUUCAACAAGAUUAACGGUUUAAUGUCGUAUCUUUGAAUCAAUCUGAAGAACCAAUGACGUGAGUACUUCUACUCUUCAAUAACUAUAUACUUAUGAAUGGAUUGUUUUCGAACCUACGGAAGGAAAAACUACGUUGUUCUUUAAGACACGAACUAACCGACUGAGCCAAGUUCCAUUAAUUUCCCUAUCGCUCUCCCGAAGAAAUAGAGGUGGUUCUAAGUUCCAAUUGUUAUUAAGUGUCCCUAGAGUUUCGUUCGUUACAGAACAAUCUACGUCUUUACUUGGGAUUUUAUAGUCUAAAACCAUACCGUUCCUAUAAACCUCCUUUACUCGUUGUUCGCUUGUGAUAGGCGUAACAACCCUGCAUACCAAUGUACAGAGGACUUAUACGUUACCUUCCAAGGAAAAGACAGUUCAGACUGUGCAUAUCGAAACCGCAAGAUGACAACCUCUAACAUUCGCCCAAUUUCUAGUCAAGUCGGGUAAAGUACUGUCUGAAAUGUUUGGAAUAUCGAAUGCGGACCUCGAAUACCUUUCUACCUUUACGUUCUCUUAACCACCUGAGCAGGUAACACCUCUUGACAGGUGGAGUACUUCAAGAUGCUACAUAAGUAGAUCCAGAGAACACACAAGUUCUGUUAGGUUUACGGUCCGGCGAGUACAGUAGGUGACACAAGUACGAUCUUUUACUUUGCCGGGACGAAGGAUGAGGCUUCCUCGGAGAUAUGAAAUCCCCUGCUAUACUACUCCAACUUCUGGUUUCUCUAUGGUACCCUUAUUGGGACUUAUUCUACUGAUAGUGAUACGUUCUCCCCGCAAUCUACAAAUUAAGUAACAAGAAGAAAAAACAUUUGAAGAGAUCAAACAUGUCCACUUGUCAAGUCGUUAAAUAGAAGGAUACCUGUUUAUUUGUUAGGUAACUCAUUUAACAUUAGGACCAACAUCAAAUAAAAGAAUCUACCAAAGGUACAAACCUUAAAGGGAUAAAACGAGUAUACAAAGAGUGGAACGGUUCACCUUCUCCGACGGACUAGUACACGCCUAGUGACGAAUGUACACAAAAUAGAAGUUUACUUAAAAGACAUAGGUCGAAGGAACCAAUCAGUUGCCCAGACUUUGAGACUUAACGAUUAAACCAUCGCUCCGACGAUAAUUAAUAUACAAGAGAAACUCGACCAUAGAAUCGCAUUUUAGGUAAAAAAUAGAAUACGACGAUCACGGUUCAUUCGAUCUAAAUGUGCGGGCUUCAGACUGUUAUCAUUAUAAAAUAAAUAAGUCCAUCUCACCCGUUUUGAAGUCCGUACCUCUUGAUAACUUUCAAGUUCAAGUUGGACUUGUCUCUUCAUUACUUUUUCAGCCCGAAGACACUUAGAGAGUCAUAGAUAUUCUUUCCAUCAUUCUAGGUAAAUUCACUAGAAGUUCGCCAUAUUUAAAGGUCGGAUUGAAUAGGGCUUAGUAUAUAUGGAGGAGACAUCAAAGUAUGUAGUGUAAUUUUAUAAAUCGGUGAUGUAGACGUAGUGGAGAAAGUAUCAAAGUAGUAACUCUACCAUAACAAAGGUGAAGUUUUGUUAUUAGAACUUCACGCGCACGUAUGACAGUUAAAACUACCGGACCAUUGAAACACUCACGGUCCGGUGAGUCCGACCUGUCACUCCGGCACCGUGAGUGUUGUGGUCUCGUCGGAGACAUGAAACAACCUUCCUCCGUACUUCGUCUUCUUCGUUCCCUCCUGAGACAAUUGUUGCGUGUGGACCGCUGCGAUGGUCCCUCGAUCUUCGAAUACUAAGGAACGUCACUCCAUUGUACUCACGGGGCCUUGUAGUUUCCCUUCGUCUAAUACUAAUUGACGGUUCACCCAAAGUCACCGGUUGACGACCACCUCUUAGGAGAAAGGGCAAGGACAGCACAGGAGAAAGUUACCAACCAGAUUUUAGUUAUGACUACGAACGAGACUAGGUAACUGACGAGUUGGAACAAAACCACGAUAGCAAGCCUUGUCGUGACCAGCCUGCCAAGAACGACGAACCUGAGUAACGGGUCAUACCUUUUGACGACCUUCAAGUCGAAGCAGGAAUUGUUUUUCAGUCUUUUCACCACGAAGGAACUUAGAGGGUCACAGGUAGUCUUUCCAUCUUUCCAAUAAAGUUCACUAGAACUUGGACAUUCUGCUGGUAUCAUUUCGGGUUGAGUGGGCCUUAGUAUAUAUGGAAGAGACUUCAAAGUC
rnacentral:rRNA from 1 species